CAGUCGCCACGGUAACACGUAGGUGGCAAGCGUUGUCCGGAAUUAUUGGGCGUAAAGGGCUCGCAGGCGGUUUCUUGAGUCUGAUGUGAAAGCCCCCGGCUCAACCGGGGAGGGUCAUUGGAAACUGGGAAACUUGAGUGCAGAAGAGGAGAGUGGAAUUCCACGUGCAGCGGUGAAAUGCGUAGAGAUGUGGAGGAACACCAGUGGCGAAGGCGACUCUCUGGUCUGUAACUGACGCUGAGGAGCGAAAGCGUGGGGAGCGAACAGGAUUAGAUACCCGUGUAGUCCUGUCUCUUAUACA
rnacentral:rRNA from 1 species